AACGAACGCUGGCGGCAUGCCUAACACAUGCAAGUCGAACGAGACCUUCGGGUCUAGUGGCGCACGGGUGCGUAACGCGUGGGAACCUGCCCUUAGGUUCGGAAUAACUCCCCGAAAGGGGUGCUAAUACCGGAUAAUGUCUUCGGACCAAAGAUUUAUCGCCUUUGGAUGGGCCCGCGUUGGAUUAGCUAGUUGGUAGGGUAAAAGCCUACCAAGGCGACGAUCCAUAGCUGGUCUGAGAGGAUGAUCAGCCACACUGGGACUGAGUCACGGCCCAGACUCCUACGGGAGGCAGCAGUGGGGAAUAUUGGACAAUGGGCGAAAGCCUGAUCCAGCAAUGCCGCGUGAGUGAUGAAGGCCUUAGGGUUGUAAAGCUCUUUUACCCGGGAUGAUAAUGACAGUACCGGGAGAAUAAGCUCCGGCUAACUCCGUG
rnacentral:rRNA from 1 species